AGCGAACGCUGGCGGCAGGCCUAACACACGCAAGUCGAACGAACUCUUCGGAGUUAGUGGCGGACGGGUGAGUAACACGUGGGAACGUGCCUUUAGGUUCGGAAUAACUCAGGGAAACUUGUGCUAAUACCGAAUGUGCCCUUCGGGGGAAAGAUUUAUCGCCUUUAGAGCGGCCCGCGUCUGAUUAGCUAGUUGGUGAGGUAACGGCUCACCAAGGCGACGAUCAGUAGCUGGUCCGAGAGGAUGACCAGCCACACUGGGAAUGAGACACGGCCCAGACUCGUACGGGAGGCAGCAGUGGGGAAUCUUGCGCAAUGGGCGAAAGCCUGACGCAGCCAUGCCGCGUGAAUGAUGAAGGACUUAGGAUUGUAAAAUUCUUUCACCGGGGACGAUAAUGACGGUACCCGGAGAAGAAGCCCCGGCUAACUUCGUGCCAGCCGCCGCGGUAAUAC
rnacentral:rRNA from 1 species